AACGAACGCUGGCGGCAUGCCUAACACAUGCAAGUCGAACGAUUGCCUUCGGGUGAUAGUGGAGCACGGGUGCGUAACGCGUGGGAAUCUGCCCUUAGGUUCGGAAUAACAGCUGGAAACGGCUGCUAAUACCGGAUGAUAUCGCGAGAUCAAAGAUUUAUCGCCUGAGGAUGAGCCCGCGUUGGAUUAGGUAGUUGGUGGGGUAAAGGCCUACCAAGCCGACGAUCCAUAGCUGGUCUGAGAGGAUGAUCAGCCACACUGGGACUGAGACACGGCCCAGACUCCUACGGGAGGCAGCAGUGGGGACUAUUGGACAAUGGGCGCAAGCCUGAUCCAGCAAUGCCGCGUGAGUGAUGAAGGCCAUAGGGUUGUAAAGCUCUUUUAACCGGGAAGAUAAUGACUGUACCGGGAGAAUAAGCCCCGGCUAACUCCGUG
rnacentral:rRNA from 1 species